UUCUGCAAAUAAAACCUUAUAAAUAUUCAUUUUAUUUCUUAUCACUAUAUAAGUCUAUUACAAAAUCAGUUCGAAGCAAUCGUUUGUCACUUCUAACCAACAACAUGUCUUCAUAUGGUCUGAUGUCGUGGAAACUGCUAGGCUUAAUGUCUAUUCUGUUGCUGUUGUGCUCCACCGCAGAAUGUCAGGAUAACGUCCCUUCUUUGCUCUCACUGUUGCUCAUCGACAAAAUCGAGAACAAGAUUGACAGACUGAACGCUCUAGUUGACAUAAUAUCAUUGACUUUUGGAUGAACCAAAUCUGCACCAUCUUCGUCCUCACCACGAUUAAGUUGUAAUUAUAUUUAUAUCACAGAUACAUAUUAUUUAUAGUUUUAAUGGUUGUGAUCACAAAAUAACAAAAAAAAUCUGAUAACUAUAUUAAAACUAUUACUCUUCAUAAAAAUAA